rnacentral:rRNA from 1 species
AAUGCUACUUUUGCCGGCGAGCGGCGGACGGGUGAGUAAUGCCUGGGGAUCUGCCCAGUCGAGGGGGAUAACUACUGGAAACGGUAGCUAAUACCGCAUACGCCCUACGGGGGAAAGCAGGGGACCUUCGGGCCUUGCGCGAUUGGAUGAACCCAGGUGGGAUUAGCUAGUUGGUGAGGUAAUGGCUCACCAAGGCGACGAUCCCUAGCUGGUCUGAGAGGAUGAUCAGCCACACUGGAACUGAGACACGGUCCAGACUCCUACGGGAGGCAGCAGUGGGGAAUAUUGCACAAUGGGGGAAACCCUGAUGCAGCCAUGCCGCGUGUGUGAAGAAGGCCUUCGGGUUGUAAAGCACUUUCAGCGAGGAGGAAAUGGAGAUUUGANCCAGGCUCA